UACAGAGGGUGCAAGCGUUAAUCGGAAUUACUGGGCGUAAAGCGUGCGUAGACGGUUAUGUAAGUCGGGUGUGAAAGCCCCGGGCUCAACCUGGGAAUGGCAGUGGAGACUGGCAAGCUAGAGUGCGGUAGAGGAUAGUGGAAUUCCCGGUGUAGCGGUGAAAUGCGUAGAGAUCGGGAGGAACACCAGUGGCGAAGGCGGCUAUCUGGACCAGCACUGACACUCAGGCACGAAAGCGUGGGGAGCAAACAGG
rnacentral:rRNA from 1 species